rnacentral:rRNA from 1 species
UACGGAGGGGGCUAGCGUUGUUCGGAAUUACUGGGCGUAAAGCGCACGUAGGCGGCUUUGUAAGUUAGAGGUGAAAGCCCGGGGCUCAACCCCGGAAUUGCCUUUAAGACUGCAUCGCUUGAACGUCGGAGAGGUGAGUGGAAUUCCGAGUGUAGAGGUGAAAUUCGUAGAUAUUCGGAAGAACACCAGUGGCGAAGGCGGCUCACUGGACGACUGUUGACGCUGAGGUGCGAAAGCGUGGGGAGCAAACAGGAUUAGAAACCCGUGUAGU